GCGACAUGGUCGAGUUCGAACCCAUGACCUCCUGUAUACCAGGCCAGGUAGUUAACGUCUCACCACCGCGGCAGUAUCUUGUAUGUAAUUGGUUCACGUGAACCCUGCAUGCACCACCAGAGCCGUGGUCCUCAACCCUUUGGUAUGGCGUUCCCUGAAUGGAAAUAACUGAUCUCUGUCACCCCUCUCCCUACACUACCCAAGGUCGACAAGGCCACAAUAAACAGGGAGAUUAAAUAAAUAAACAAACGUUUUCAACGGCCUCUACUCAACACGGCGUUAUCCUGGCGUUUCUUUCGCGUUGUCGUAUUUGUGUUUAGUGCCGGACACUGGCAUGCCACGUCGGCCUCCAUAAUAAUUCGUCAGAAGGAUGAUAAUGAUUUACUUAUUUGUCUAGUGGAGCCACACGGAGUCAUCAUACUUUUUUUUUGUUUUCAGGAGGGUUCCUGCCUGCUGCGUUGGGGUUUUUAUUAUUCACUUUAAGAUUUUUUGAGCCAAUUAAUAAUACCGCUUGGUAAGAAACCAGAGUGCACAGUGGAAACACCACGCGCGCGAGGGGGCAACACCCCUAUCCCCCCCCCCCACCCCGCACAGGUGGCAACAGAUGGCGAUUGAGUCCACUUGCUGUACCGCCUUCUCCUGGGCGAGCCAGGGUCUGGCACCUCCUCGACGCUCACGGCAAGGGAGUUUUUCCACGACAUUUUGUGCGGUGAUCCGCCAACCCCGGCUGCCUCCGCGGUGUUGGAUUACAGGCAACGUCCAUAGCUACGAGGGCCCAUUCAUUACACGCACCCUUGUGGUUUCUUAGGCUAAAUGUGGCUGGGAAGCGGUGUCUGUGUACAUACCUUAAAAUAUUAUUGUGUUUUGAUUUAAAGCUUUCGUAACUGCAGGGAUUCAUAUUCUUGGUUCUUUCGGUAAAGGCACAUACUUGUCAAUAUAACCCAAUUCAGCUCCUGAGGAUGUUUGCAGGCUUGAGUAAGAAUAGUGGGUGACCACCGUGCUUGCAUAACAGGUUUUAUAGCCUGCGGGGGUGGGAGGGGGGUGGGGCUACGUGGUGGGCAGGAGUGGUAACAGCGCAGUAGUGGGAGGCAGAAACGUGACAGCAUGCUGCAACCAUCCUGUUGAGCCGAACUUGGAAUCGGCUGACGUGUGUGUGCAGCAACACCCUUCACACCGUGGCCGAGAUGAUGACUCCUCGCCUGGUAUACGGGGAGGUCGUGGUUUCGCUCCAGACGCCUGCUAUGUAUUUUGAGUUUGCUCUGCCCUCUGCCCGUGACCGCGUGGAUUUUUUUUCUCCACAUCCUCCCGUUCUUCCCUCCACGCGUAGAAAUUAACAUCGACGUGCCCUUGUCACUGCGUUUGGCCGCGAUAGAUGUCCACCUCGAUAAGCCACUUCGUUGGGCUAUCAUUUGUGGCCAGGUCCCUCUUUGAAAGAGAGCGAUGCAGCUCGGUCGGCCUUACCUGGUGAAAAAAAAACAACCAAACAGCUUAUAGUUGAAUAGUUUACGGUUUGUUUAAAGCCGUCCGAGCUGCAUGCAACCGCGCCGCCACACGCGCGCGCAGGGUAAGAGGGGCCGCAUGCCACGUCGAUGAUGACUCGCUGCUGGGUGUGAGUGAGGCGUAAGGAGUGAGUGAGGCGUGUUGUGUGAGGCAUGCGCUGUGCGCGCUCUCUCGGCUUGCCCUGCAGUCUGUGCGCGUGGCUUGCCGCACGCCGCUUUGCUCGACCACGUGCCCCUGCCACGCCAUCGUAGUCGCGUUCACGACGACACCCUGCUGCCAUUACAGCUGUUUAUGAUCCACAAUAACGUUUCGUAGCUUUUUCAACUUGCCUUCCACGUUUUCUUUUAAUCUGUUGCACAUGACACGCGUUCUCUCAUUCCGGAACGCAUCCGAGUGAUUUGGCUCGGCUGAUUUUGUUCCGCCGUUAGUAAUUUCGCCACGUAUUUUGCCUUUCCUUCCUUAUUUUUUUCAUAUAUCUGGACGGUGGGGGAGGGGGGAGACGCGACGGCGUUUAUAUAAACGACUGCUUGUGCGUCAACCUGCACGCGCGUCGCGCCCCUUCAAAUUACUUUUCACCCGCCACUAUAAUAUGGAAUUUCCACCAUUUACUCGGGGGGGGGGGCGGGGUUCCUCCAGUGAAGAGGAGUACACCCCCCCCAACCCCCCAUGCUCAUUUGCGCGGGGAAGACCCCUCAAACAUUCUGUUACUUAAGGCCAGAGUCCGUACUUUGUACCGUGCAAGUCACGUGACGCUAAACAAUGCCCACGCGGUGCACCCUGGGAGUUGUUGUCCAGCGGGUGGCCUGAAUGGCCCCUCCGGUGCCAGGGGGACCCUUUUGGUGCCUCAACGUUGAGAAUGGUUUCCCUUGGCUUUUAACAAGCACUGGCUUUCCAAAUCCCCUGGGUGUUGGGCACCUGACUGGGCACAAACAUAUAUAUCUCUCCGCAGUGAAAGGACACUCGUUAAAUUGCGAGGCACGUGCCAAUGAGGGGGGAGGGGGCGGUGCCCACAUUAUGGCCGGGUUUAAUUGAUGGCGGUAAACGUUGAAGCACCAUGUACUUAGGACUUAAGUCAUGGGAGCUGUCUGCAAUGUGCGUGCAGUGGACUGCUGAUGUGGGCUCAAUUUAGCAUUAUUUACUUUGGCUCGGCCACAACCUUUGCAACUACUUUGUGGGGUUUAUUUUCAUUCUCCCCCGUUCCUCCUCCGUGCACAUGUUUUUCCGGGAGUUGCAGUAAUGUCACCCUAUCGCAUGAUUUUAUUUGCUCGCUCUGUUUGCACGGCGGGUUUAUCUCUCUCCACGGCCGUGUGGUGUCCUCCCAUUUGCUUGCGAAAGAAUGGACCGUUCAAUAGAUUUCUGGCAAAGUUCAAAUAUGACUUCGUUGCAGUUGGGAAUUAAAGCAUUACAAAUACACACUACGUGCAUUGAAACGUACACUUCAUCACCAAUUAUACUCCGCUUUACUGUUGCGAGCCAUGGUCAUGAGGUGGGGAGAAGCGUCCUGCGGAAUGUUAGAACGCGGGUCUUCCUGUAAACGUGGAACGUUGUUGGUCCAAUGCCGGUCCGACGUUGGCCUGGUGUUGGUCCAAUGUUGGCCCGGCGUUGGCCCAACGUGGACCGACAUUGGACCGGCGUUGGUCCAACGUUGGACUGGCGUUGGACCGGCGUUGGUCCGACGUUGGCUCCACGUUGGCAUGAUCUUGGCUUGGCGUUGGUCCGACGAUUCCAACCACAUGCGCCCACCAUUGGCGUGUUUACUGGGCGACCGUCUGAACCACUGAAGCUGAUGCAGCUACCGUUAUGCUAUUUUUUUAUCUUCCGCUGUAUCACGCAGCUGCCGAUCAUGUAGUGUUUGACGUAGGCUAAACAUUUCCCAUGGGAUGACCCUUGUGACACGUUUUUUUUACUUAGACGUGAACGCUUUACCCUGGUGGGCUUUCUUCAUUGCAGGGCGAUUUCCAAUUAUUUGAUCAACGCUGGGGCAGAAUCUUGGAACUCCCCGGAAAAUAGCGUGGUGGGGGGGGGGGGGGGGGGACGACACCCUUCAUGGCAGCCGUGGCACCAUACAGUGUCGCAUAUUGUUUAUGACUGUCCUCUAAGUUCAGCGAAGGUCUCUAGGAGAACCACACAUGGCCACCGAGGAUGCUACCGCAUGCGUCAGGAAUUGCACGUUCUCCCCCGUUGGUGGCGUGGAUUUUUCUCCGGGGGGUCCUCCGAUUUUUCUCCUCCACGUAUCGAAUCAACGUGGGUUCAGAGUAGUUUGGCUGCUGUACAUGUCCACGUGAUACGUCAUUUUGUUGAGCUACCUUCUGUGAUAGCCAAGGCGCUUCUAAAAAAUCUGU